rnacentral:lncRNA from 1 species
GCCAGAAGCUGGGAACCGCUACAGAUGUAUCUCUGAGAAAGAGAGAGUGUUCCUGCAGGUAAGAACAGGGCUCCAGUGACCACAGCAAACACUGAGCUAUAUGGGCUGGAUGCCACUCAAGACAAGCAAGAAUCGUUGCCUCAGCAAGAACACCAUGUGGCUGGCUGCUUUUGCAAUAGGCUUAGGGGCAUUACUUUUUGAGGCUUGACAUUUCUGGUGUCAUCUCUUGGCUCGCUGACAGUUCAGUACAAACACAGCAAGUGUUCUAUGCAGCAGUAAGUACCCUUAUUCAUCUUGAAGGAACUAGUCGCUUUUGUCAGGGUAUUUCAUCACAACAACAACAACAACAACAGCUGCAAUAAUGGGCUGCUGGGAGGGUAAAGUCAUGUGCAAAGGGGCAUGUACAAUCCCUACAGAGAGGAUGGAGGUGCUGGUGUCAAUACAAGAAAGACAUAAUCACUGGAAAAGAACCAGCUCACAGAUGGCUAUGCCUAGCCUCCGGAGACAAGAUGUGCUAAGCUCAGGCAUGGGGAUUGUUAGCAUUAGAGGCAGGCCUCAUGGGUCUGAGUUCCCUGCCCUGUGCUUCUUACUUAUAGUUGCUGGGUAACAAGCUGUAAGAUGCUGAAUGGCCAAACUCCAAGCAGGACGGCCAGUGUUAUCAGAAGAAUUCCUACUUUAAACUGAUGAAGUUCACUACAGCAGCAUUUAUCCAUCUAACCCAGCAGCUCAGCAUUCUACUACGGUACUGGUUAGUUUAUGUCAACUUAAUACAUAUUAGAAACUUCUUGGAAGAGGGAACCUCUAUUGGGGAAUUAUCUUUAUUAGAUUGGUCAUUGGCUAAGUCUCUCUCUCUCUCUGCCUCUCUCUGCUUUCCUUCCUUCCUCUAUCUCCCUCCCUCCCUCCCUCCCUCCCUCCCUCCCUCCCUCCCUCCCUUCUUUCUUUCUUUCUUUCUUUCUUUCUUUCUUUCUUUCUUUCUUUCUUUCUUUCUUUCUUUCUUUCUUUCUUUCUUUCUUUCUUUCUUUCUUUCUUCCCUAAUGAUUGGUGUGGGAGGGUGCCCAGCUCACUGUGGAUGGUGCUAACUGCUAACCUUGGGUCUAGGCUGUAUAUGAAAGCAAACCUAGCAAGCCAAUGAACACCAUUCCACUAUGGUAUCUGUUUCAGUUCAUGCCUCAGGGUUUUUGUUGUUUUUGUUUAUUUGUUUGUUUGUUUUUGCUUUUUGGUAUUUUAAAAAAUCAUUAGUAUUAAUUAGUUAGUAUACAAAGUAAAGGCUUCCUUAUGACAUUUUCGGUUUCUUCUUCUUUCUUCUUCUUCUUCUUCUUCUUCUUCUUCUCCUUCUCCUUCUCCUUCUCCUUCUCCUUCUCCUUCUCCUUCUCCUUCUCCUUCUCCUCCUCCUCCUCCUCCUCCUCCUCCUCCUCCUCCUCCUCCUUUUUUUUUUUUUUUUUUUGGACCUGGCUGUUCUGGAACUCACUUUGUAGUCCAUGCUGGCCUUGAACUCAGAAAUCUGCCUGUCUCUGCCUCCUGAGUGCUGGGACUAAAGGCAUGCACCUUCACACCUGGCUCUUAUGACAUUUUCAUGCGCAUAUAAUUCUACUUUGCUCUUACUUUAUGUUCCCAAUAUCUUCUUUUAUUUUUCUCUAAUAAUUUAUUUAUUUUAUUCACUUUACAUCCUGACUGACAGCCCACCCUCCCUUCUCUCUUUCCAGUACAACCCUCAUUGCUCCCUCCCCUUCUCCUCAGAGAACUGGGAGCACCCUUGGGUGCCUCCCCACCCUGGGACAUCUGGUCCCAGCAGGAUUACUGCCUCCAGGUUCCUGUGUUGAGCUCCUGAUCUGUUUUCUCUAGAUGGUGAGCUGUAACCUGUAAGCCAGACAAACUACUUCCUCCCCAAGUUGGUUUUUAGUCUGCAUCUUAUCAUAGCUACAGGAAAGCCAGCCAGGACUGUUACAUAACCCCACAACAGCUGUCUGUAGGAGGUGACCUUAAGGGUGAGACUUGGACCUCAGAGCAGAAGGGAUUUAAGAAGUUU